rnacentral:rRNA from 1 species
AUGGCUAAUCUGGCAGCAGGUGGCUACGUGUUCCAACCCACCGGCUGUGAGCUCGUCGGCUACUACCUCAUGCCCAGGGCGGAGCUCGGUGGCUUCUUCCUCCCCGGCGUCAUCGCGGAGGACGUGGACGUCUUGUCCUUGCGCCCACGCGUGCUCUCCUUCCCGAAAAACCACAGGAGGGAUUACGGCGAGGUAUGGGGCUUCUUCUUCGCGGCAAAGCCCGCCGGCGAGACGUGCCCAACGCCGGGCGCGGGCGGGUGCUGGGAGCAGUACGGCCAGGAGAAGGCAUACUACGACGGCGAGGGCAGUCGGGAGGCAGUGGCCUUGCUGCUAACACGGUGCAGGUUCGCGUACCGCUACUCGUGGAGGGACGGGGAGGUAAUAUCGCAGACGCGCUGGCGGAUGAAGGAGUACUGGCUCAACAGAAACGCGGCCGCCUUCCGCCACGCGCACCCGGGCCCCGUGCCGCCGGACGUCGUCUUCGUAGUCCACAAGGUCUACAGGAAGCCGCUGAUCCCUCCGCCAUUGCCGCCCGACAGCAACUCCAGCGAGGACGAGGGCUCCGAGAGCUACAUCGUGUACCCGCAACUCGAUGAGAUCAUGCGGCGGUUAACGCUGGGGAACUAG